rnacentral:rRNA from 1 species
GACGGAGGGUGCAAGCGUUGUUCGGAAUUACUGGGCGUAAAGCGUGCGCAGGCGGUUCGCUAAGACCGAUGUGAAAUCCCCGGGCUUAACCUGGGAACUGCAUUGGUGACUGGCGGGCUAGAGUAUGGCAGAGGGGGGUAGAAUUCCACGUGUAGCAGUGAAAUGCGUAGAGAUCAGGAAGAACACCCAUGGCGAAGGCAGCUCUCUGGGCCUGUACUGACGCUGAGACGCGAAAGCGUGGGGAGCGAACGGG